GCUCAAUGAGGUAGUGGUAGCCUGGGUCGUUGUGUUAAGUUCGUCGCGAAUCGACCCGCUGGGGGUUCAAUUCCCCUUUGAUGCA